rnacentral:rRNA from 1 species
GACAAACGCUGGCGGCGUGCCUAAUACAUGCAAGUAGAACGCAGUUGCGAACGGGUGAGUAACGCGUAGGUAACUGCCUCAUAGCGGGGGAUAACUAUUGGAAACGAUAGCUAAUACCGCAUACUGUGAGAUGGACCUGCGUUGUAUUAGCUAGUUGGUGAGGUAAAGGCUCACCAAGGCGACGAUACAUAGCCGGCCUGAGAGGGUGGUUCGCCACACUGGGACUGUGACACGGCCCAGGAUUCUACGGGGAGCAGCAGUAGGGAAACAUCGGCAAUGGACGGAAGUCCUACCGAGCAACGCCGCGUGAGGGAAGAAGGUUUUCGGAACGGAAAGCUCUGUUGUUAGGGAAGCGGUAACUACCCAGAAAGGGCCGGCUAACUACGUGCCAGCAGCCGCGGUAAUAC